rnacentral:lncRNA from 1 species
UGUACUGUUUGAGACACCAAAUACAUUGCAAUGAGAAUUCAGGGGAAGAUAUAGCUCAAAAGAUUUCCAUCAACAAAUUCUAAAUGAUACUUUUGCCUGACAGAACUGCAUAGCUCUGUGCCUUGAUGGCACUAGAUAUCGACUUGCAAUCCACAUCCUAUCUAGGGAGCAAACUAGCAGAGCAAGUACUCCAGUAGCUCAAGCAAGCAAUCAGCCAAAGCUGAUCACAGGUACAAUAUAAAAAAACACUAGUCCAUACAUCAGCCCAACCAAUCUCAAC